CCUACGGGAGGCAGCAGUGGGGAAUAUUGGUCAAUGGGCGAAAGCCUGAACCAGCCAAGUAGCGUGAGGGAAGAAUGCCCUACGGGUUGUAAACCUCUUUUGUAGGGGAGUAAAGGAAGGCACGUGUGCCUGUUUGCACGUAUUUCAUGAAUAAGGAACGGCUAACUCCGUGCCAGCAGCCGCGGUAAUACGGAGGGUCAGAGGGUUAUCCGGAUUUAUUGGGGUUAAAGGGAGGGUAGGUGGGUCUUUAAGUUUAUUGUGAAAGCUUAGGGCUUAACCGUAAAACUGCGAUUGAAACUGGGAGCCUUGAGUGCAGGUGAGGUAGGCGGAAUUCGUGGUGUAGCGGUGAAAUGCUUAGAUAUCACGAAGAACCCCGAUUGCGAAGGCAGCCUACUGGACUGUAACUGACGCUGAGGCUCGAAAGUGUGGGUAUCAAACAGGAUUAGAUACCCCAGUAGUC
rnacentral:rRNA from 1 species